rnacentral:rRNA from 1 species
UACGGAGGGGGCUAGCGUUGUUCGGAAUUACUGGGCGUAAAGCGCGCGUAGGCGGCUUUGUAAGUUAGAGGUGAAAGCCCGGAGCUCAACUCCGGAACUGCCUUUAAGACUGCAUCGCUAGAAUUGUGGAGAGGUAAGUGGAAUUCCGAGUGUAGAGGUGAAAUUCGUAGAUAUUCGGAAGAACACCAGUGGCGAAGGCGACUCACUGGCCCGAUACUGACGCUGAGGCGCGAAAGCGUGGGGAGCAAACAGG